rnacentral:lncRNA from 1 species
GGUAAUGGAGCAGAGACUGGAGCAGAGACAAGUUGUUCCCACUGAGCUCUCCUCAGAUUACAGAUUGGGAGUGGCAAAUCAAAGGCAUUGCAGCCUCUUUCAUCACUGCCGAUUGCUGAUGCCAACCAUGUGCCAAGUGCUUAAUACGUCACCUUAAAUCUUCUCAUCCACCCUCAGAGUGGUCAGUGAUUACAGGGCGCAUCGCAAGAGGUUGAAAGCUGAAGAAAACAGCGGGAGUCCAUUAAAAGUUAUCUGACGGGCUCAGCUUUAAAGAUCAUGAAAAAGAGAUGGAAAGAAGGGCAUGUAACCACAGAAUCAAAUGGGAAAAUGGUACAGAGGUGCCCAGAAAAUCAAUAGAGGAAGUUCUAAGGGGAUCACCCUUGCUGGUUUAUGCCUUCAUCCAAUUGUUUAGCAACAUCGAUUGAACAUCUGGCUCUACCAGGAACUGAACAAAGACUUUCCCUCAAGUGUGAGCUUGAGCGUUAGGUUCUUCAGUUCCUUCUGAUUCCCUGUGAUCCAGCUCGUGCUUAUUGUCUUUAUUUUCUGAGUCUUGCCUCUAUGGCCCCCCUCCUCUCUGAAAGCAAGGCCACUUGAGUCGUGCCUUUCUGAAUGAAGUCAAUGUCUGUGCCAGUCAAUGCACAAUUGUCGCUUAUGACCUUCCUGAGGUUUCCUGUUUCCUCCUAAUACAUUAGAAGAACAAAUCAAUAAAGUCUGUGUCCCAGUA